AGAAUCAACGCUGGCGGCGUGCCUAACACAUGCAAGUCGAACGAGAAAGUGGAGCAAUCCAUGAGUAAAGUGGCGCACGGGUGAGUAACACGUGACUAACCUACCCUUGAGUGGGGGAUAAACCUAGGGAAACCUGGGCUAAUACCGCAUAAUACCUUCGGGUCAAAGGAGCAAUUCGCUUAAGGAGGGGGUCGCGGCCGAUUAGUUAGUUGGCGGGGUAAUGGCCCACCAAGACUGUGAUCGGU
rnacentral:rRNA from 1 species